GGAGAUAUAGCUCAGUUGGAAGAGUGCUUGCCUUGCAUGCAUGAGGUCCUGGGUUCAAUCCCCAGCACCACUA
rnacentral:tRNA from 1 species